CUCGGCGGCGGCGGCGGGGACCCUCCCGGGGACCGCUCCCCCGGGAUCUCCCCCACCCAUUCGCCUUAUUUGGCGGGGAGGAGGCGCCGUAGGGAUGUUUGUCGCCGCUGGGUUUGGGGGGGCGGGCUCCAACUUAGCACAUAUUAUUUACAUGAGGGAGACACCGAUCCGAUCGCCUCCAGGAUACUUGGUCCGGGUCCCGAACCUAAGCGUCCGUUCAGAGCUGCAAAUGCAGAGAGGAAGGGGUAUUCCCCUGCCCCAUACCCCCCUUCCCUGCUUUAAAGCACAUUUCUCAAUGAGUCUUUACUUAGCUUUGUGCUCGGAAAUUGUAGUCUUUCCUAUUAAAAUACGAUAGCAUAUGUGAGAGUUCCUUGCAAACUGUGAAGCGGCUUUUAAAGAAGGGGUAUUAAUGGCAGGUUGAUACCCACAGAAGAGUAGAAAAGGGGAGCUGUCUCUUUUCCCAUAAACCUCAGCCAAACCUGGCCGAGUAUUCUGGAGGCAGGAGAGAGCAAAUGUUGGGGUCACCAGGAUACGAGGGUAGUAGUAAUGACAACCCCGUUGGAGUGCCUGUUGUGUGCCUGCUGCGCUUACAAUGGAUUUCGCUCAUCCAGCAAACGGUGGUUCCCACGAUGUGGCCCGCAAACCAGCAGCGUCAGCAUCACCUGGAAACGCGAGAGAAACGCGAAUUCUUGGGCACCAGCCAGACCCACAGGACCAGAAGUAGUGGGCCAAGAAAUCUGCGUUUUGACCAGCCCUCCAGGAAUGGAGAUCCACUCUGAAUCAACAGGAAAAUGUCAGUUGCUUGAAAAACCUUCUGCUGAUCUUGUGACUUCAAAGAGAAAAAGACAAUUUAAUCAAGGAAGCCUCUCGUGAGCAGAGGAAUCACACCAUCCCAUCCUUAUACAUUUUCAUAUUCCUUAUGCAAGAAUUGUGUUUGCCUAUAAUCUGGAAACUUGCCUAAAUGGAUCACUAAGCCCUGUGUUGAGAAGGGUCCCAGAUCAGUGCUUUUGAAAUUAGCUCUAGGAAAAUGAUAGGACCUCCCACUCACUCCCGCCACCCCCCACCCCAUCCCCGCAACACAGACACAGGUGAAGGUGGCUCAGCUAAAGGGCCAGAGACUGUCUUCUAAGCACAUAGUGAUGUAUGUGAAGUUUGUUAGGUGGGGGUCCCUCACCCCUCCGAAAUUUGGGAAUAGAGAAUGUUCUCAUGACCAGGAUGCUUUUCAUCCAUCUUUGCUUCAGAAUCCUAACCCUCACUUCCAUCAAACCACCUCCCUGCGGAGCUAGAUUGAUGAGAAAGGAAGGCAGGCAGGGGAAUAAAAUCAAAUAUUUUCUUUCAGCUAA